rnacentral:lncRNA from 1 species
UGAGAGCGAAAACUCUUCAGUCACGGCAGUGAUCGUGCAAGAAGGAUCGAUUGUCACUCAAGACAUCCGGUGUGAUAGAGUUCGCGUUUGGGUCGACUCCUAUGGUAUUGUCACCAGGGUUCCUAUCAUCCAGUAAUUGAUCGAUACUAGCAAGUCUGCCCUCUGCUUCAUGCGUAUAUAUUUGGGAAGAAAAUAAAUACUGAAAUAAAUAAGUUUAUUUCCAUGCAAUAUUGAUUGUUAGUCGACAUAGUUUGUACGUUUUCAUUUGGACGUGUGUAGUCUGUUAAUGAUAAAUAAAACACUACUGCAUUUCUCCUCCUUGUUUCUCGAUCCAAAUGUUGUUGAAGGUUUCAACAAUACUUCCCCUACAUACUUCCCCUAAUGAAUUGUAUUUCCAUGCAAUACGUAGUUCGUUUUCCUUUCAGUGUAUUCUCAAUCAAUCUAUAUAAAUAAAGAAACUCUUGCCUUUUCUUCUCUCCUGUAUAUUCUAUUUUCUGAUGAACUACAGAUCAACAGAUGUGAUUAGGGUUUUCUUUCAGUACACCAUACAUAAGAAUCUAUGCUUCCUUCACACAAAGCAGAUAAACAUUGUCAAUUUAUUUUAAAGAGUAAAGUGACCAAACAUAGAUUAAUCUGCAGAACAAAACUAAAAUGAUCACUUAUACCAAACUUUACCUUGUUUAACCGACUACAUGGUGCAAUACCGCAACUAAUUAACCACGCACGUACAGAAGAAACUUCAUAUUUUGCAACGAACUAUUGGUAGAGGUGAUCGAUUGACGUACGGACGUAACAUUAGUUCUUCUCUCUUUUGCAAAAUGAGUUUUGGCUUCGGACUUUCCUUGGUGUCAGUUAACUUCCCUAAACAAAAUGACUCAAGAUAUAGUUCCUUUGCACAAGUAAGAAACAGAUCGAUAAGAUACAAGCAAUAUGUCUUCGAUUAUACAAGAUUGUAUGUAGUUCGCGAUUUCUUGGCAAAGGAACGUCCAACAGGCACUUUGGAUCAAUUGUGCCACCAUACCAUUCACUGAUUCUGGUGUCACCCUAAACACUUUUUGCUGUUUAUUCCGCAGACUGUUUCUGUUUCUAGUUUGUUUCAUUAGUUGUCCAUACUUGGAAAUGCUAAGCAGCAAAAUUAUAUUGUUGUUAAUUGGUUUCUUUUACAUGUUGUUCAUGUUUGAUGUUUCAGUUUGCAGGAAUCUUAAAGAAUAACUCUCUUGAAUUUUACUUGAUGUGGAGAGAAUUCCUUACUGUUAAGGCCGGCCUAAUUGUCAACUAGAGGGUGUCCAUGCAGACCAUUACUAAUUAAGACCAAGGUUCUGGACUCUGAAAGUCUGGAGCAGUACAAAACUAAAACGAAUCUUAAUUACCGAAUUAUAGCUUGUUUAACAAACUACAUAGUGCAAUACAGCAACCACAGAAGAAACCUACUUACUUUGGAAAGAACCAUUGGUAGAGGCUAGGUGACCACUAGUAAUUCUCUGUCGUGGAUGCACAUAGUAGUAGCUGCUUCCUUUGCUGCGAGACCAAGUGAAGGGGUAUAUAUACAUGGCUUACCUGAGAGUGGCUAGCUGAGGCACAUCUCCCUCGUUGGAGAUUUUUAACGUACAAUCAGAUAUAAUCGCCACAUCGAGUGCAAGUGAUACUUCGUUUGCUUUCGCUCCGAGUUUUGUUCCUAUAGGUUUCGAAUGGAAAAGGUUUUGAUGAAUGAUGAGGGCUCCUUGAUCUGAUCAAAUGGAGUUGUCUAAUUAUACAAUUAUUGGUAAGUGGAAAACUACAGUAGCUAGCAAAUUACCGAUGUCUUUUGAAUAAUACCUAUAUAUCAUCUAGUACAAUCAGAUUUGUUGAUAAGCUUCAAUAAAACUNNNNNNNNNNNNNNNNNNNNGCAGGAAAACUGGAAUUCGACGGACUCGCCGGGGAGGGAAAGUGGUCGGGGAAGCUGCUGGAGUCCGCUGGGGUGGAGGCGCGCCCUCACCAGCGCCGUACGGUGGCGAACAGAAGGAAAUCCGCACCUUAAGGCUGUGCGGACGUCCGUAUCUGAAACGGACUGUAUAUAUAUAUAUAUAUAUUUAUAUACAGGGCCCUUCCAAUGAGGGAUCCUUAUUUUUUGUCACUUUUAGGGAUAGGCCCACACUAUUAGAGCUGUUUUUUAAUGAGCUUAGAUGGCUGAGAUUAAAACAAAAAACUUAACACUUAUGUCAAAUCUACACCGUUCAAGAUCAUUAAAAAUAAAUCAAACAUUUGGAUGACUUAACGAUCACCAAAUUUUCUGAAAAUUUGCAUAAGUGAUCUACUUAUAUAUACCUACAAACUGAACGGUAGAGAUGUGAUUUAGUGAUCGGGAAGUAUGUCAAAUACCCUAUCCCUAGAAAUGAACAAAAAAAAGAUCCCUCAUUGGAAGGGCCUAGUACAAUCAGAUUUGUUGAUAAGCUUCAAUAAAACUGAUCGACCUUUCUGUUAUUCCUAAUUGACAGGAUCUAUAUUGUGUUAGAAAUGUAUCCCUUAAUUUCCAGAUUUUUGUGGUUGUUGAGCUAAUCUGUAAUGAAGGUGUUAUUACUAUUAGAAGUAUUGGAGAGGAAUAGAUCCCACAUCAGAAAAGUGACAAAUAAAAUAUAACUUAUAUGUGGAUGGAUCUUAUCCAAUUGUACCGAGACCUUUUGUGAUUAAAACCUAACACCUUAAAGGUGGUUAAUUAAGUUGGGACAGUAUCGGUACAAUGUGAUCCACGGGCCACGCUUGUCGCUGUUUAACAUGGUAUCAGAGCGGGUCCCUCUCCAAUUACUUCUCCAAUUCUCAUGGGCCCGAUUUGGGUUCAUUCUCUCGUCCGGUCCGAGAUUCUAUUCUCUCGCCCGGUUCCGGCUUCUUCACCAAGUGUCCCUUGGUUCGUUCCGUCCCGAUUCAUUCCACGUGCGGGACCUUGAGUCAGGUUACACGUAAGGGGGCGUAUUAGAAGUAUUGGAGAGGAAUAGAUCCUACAUCAGAAAAGUGACAAAUAAAAUAUAAUUUAUAUGUGGAUGGAUCUUAUCCAAUUGUACCGAGGCCUUUUGUGAUUAAAACCCAACACCUUAAAAGUGGUUAAGUUGGGACAAUAUCGGUACAAUGUGAUCCACGGGCCACGCUUGUCGCUGUUUAACAAUUACAGCUUAAUUAGCUAGAAUUAGUUUUUGUUAAUGAUCAUAGGAUUCCAGCAUGGUUUGCUGAUAGUGAUCAACAGCUACAUGUCACGUGUUAUCAUACAUGUGCUCAUGGUCCUCUAUUUAUCUUGGACUUUUUCCUCUUCUAUUGUUGUAAAAGCUGAACAAUAUUUUUCAUCAAUAUAGAGUCUCUUCUCCUUUUCUGCAUUUUUCUGUACUUACUGCAAUUCUUUUAUAUUGUUCUUCAUUUUUUCAUACCACGAACCUCCUAGCUAUUCUUCAUUUUGCUUCUACGUGGUUAUGAGUCAUGGCAAAGAUCACCUAAUCUCCAAAAGUAAACAGCCCCUACGCGCACGUCUUAUCAUAAGAUCCGAAUAGUCAAUAAUAACCAACCACAGCUUGAUCAACGAUCCACUAUAAGUAUGAAGCUCUCGUUCCCUCAUCUCCAAGGCUCCAACCCACAGCAAACAUAUUACAAGAGAUUCAUCAAAGAGAGUUAAACUCAAGACUGAAAGAAAGCAAAGAUGGCUGGUCAAUCCGUAGGUAACGUUCAAUUGUUCAUGCAUGACCUGCUUCCUUGGUUUUUGCAGUUAUGAAGUAAUUAUUGAUCCUUGUGUGCUCAUUUCUUUGAUUCCAUGUAUAAAAUUAUAUGUAGGUAAGGAAUCCUGGCCUGAACUGUUGGGAGCUGAAGGGACAGUUGCAAAGGAAAUAAUUGAGAGCGAAAACGCUUCAGUCACAGCAGUGAUAGUGCUAGAAGGAACACCUGUUACUAGAGAUUUCCGGCUUGAUAGGGUUCGUGUUUGGGUCAAUACAGAUGGCAUUGUUAUCAGUAUCCCUAAAAUUGGGUAACUGAUCGUCUGAUCGUCCAUAACCAUGGUUACUAGCUAGUCUUCUUCAAACCUGUGAUGAAAAUCAUAUGAAAUAAUACUGAAAUAAUAAGGAGAGAGUUGUAUUAAUUUCCAUGCAAUAUCAAUUGUGUUAAUUAAACAGUGUACCCAGUUUGUUUCCUUUUGUGUAUUCUUAAGGAAUCUAUAAACAAAGAAUAAUUGCCUUUUCUUUUCCUCUUAAUAUUGUUGUUGUGAUCUGUUCAACUAGAACUGUGGUUCGGGUUUUUUAAGUACACCAAACAUAUAUAUGAAUGUAGAUAUAUAGGCCUUCAACUAGUCUUAUCAAACAGAUAUUAAUCAACUUGUAACGAGUAAAAUGACCAAACAGAUAAAGAUAAUCUGGACUCUGGAAGUCCGGAGCAGUACAAAACUGAAACGAAAAUUAAUUACCAAAUUAUACCUUGUUUAACAAACUACAUCGUGCAAAUACAGCAACCACAGAAAAGAAACCUACUUUGGGAAGAACCAUUGGUAGAGGUGACCACCGGUACUUCUUCUCUGUCUUGGCUUUAGACUUUCCCUGGUGUCAGUCAAGUUCCGUACGUAUGCAAAUGACCCAAGAAACAGUUCCUUUGCGCAAGUAGAAACCGAUGAUAAACCAAGUUCCAUUACAAAACAUGACUCUGUGACAUCGUGAACGUCCAACCGGCGCUGUGGAUCAGUUGUGCACUGCCACACCAUACCGUUCAAUGAUUCUUGUAGCUUCUGCUUUUGUAGCCAUCAACGUUUUGCUGUUCAUUUUGCUGCAAAUUCUUCUACAUCCUCCGUUAUGUUGAUUGAGCGCAAUGUCAGCUUGAAGAUCGAGCAUUAUCCUUGGCGACCUGCUAUAAUUGGUUAAACUUCUGUUAGCACUUCUAAAUUAAAUGGGUUCUAUGGUCUCCAUGCAUUAAUGUACUGGUUGAAGAAGAAAAUUAAUUUUAGUAAACUUCACACAAUCACAGUAUUUUAAUUUAGCUAAAAUUCCAUUGCAUCAUGCAAGCAGAUACCUAUAUAUGUUUAUAUGUUCUUCAAAGUUAAGUUAGUCUUCAUUUUUGGCUUGUUAAUUGUAGAUAAUUAAUUAUGCCUUUAACAAGCUUUUUAGUAAAUUUGUACUGAUUAAAAUGGUUUCAUGCAUACAGCUUUCAUUAGUUUCUCAUUUUAAUGGUAAUUCAGGCCAGUUACAGCUCCACGUACUUGUUUGAUGAUCAAGUUAAAUCAUGCAAAAACGCUAGCUCCUUAACUUGGUUAGAUUUCCGAAGAGGAAAUUCGUACCAUAUAGUAGAAGUCUCAAACAUUAACUAAACAUGGAUGACACAUCUUCCAUUAACUGCUUCCUUUGCUGCAACGACAAAUCGAGGGGUAUAUACUUGGCUUACAUGAAGCACAUUAACUCUAUUUGACUAGAUUAAGGCUCCUAAUCUGAUCAAACGGAUCGAGUUCUUCUAAGCAAAUAAAAAGUUUUUGAGAUAUAAAUCCCACAUCCACAUCAGGAAUAUGAGACAUUGUCUAUAGGUUUAUAAGGGUUUAAGCCUUUUUAUUCAUUAUCAAUUGGUUUUCGAUGUGAACAUUUUACUACUUUAUCAAAAAAUUUGACUAAACAAAUAAUCUAAUAAUGAAUUUAAUUCGGAGUUCUGAUUAUAGUAGCUAACUACCAAUAUCUUUUGAACAAUACCUAUCAUCAAAGUACGUCUGCAGUACAUUCACAUUUGUGGAUAAGUUCCUAGCUAAUUGACCACGUAUAUGUUACAUGUUCUUCAUUUUUCAUACCACGAAACUACUAUUGUUUGUUCUUCAUUUUGCUACCUUGCGUGGUUAUGAGAAUAAAGAUCUCGUAGUCUAUAAAAUAAUAGUACAAAAAUAAACAGUCUCUACGCAAUUUCAUGCAUGCAUCUUAUUAUAAGAUUCUAAAUAGUCAAUAAUCGCCAACCACAACUUGUUCAAUGAUCUUCAAUCGAAAAAAAGAACACGUUCAAUGAUCUUUUAAUUUAUAAAGAACUUGUUCAAUGUUAUACUAUAUAUAUGAUCCUCUCCUUCCCUCUAAUAAACCACAAGCAUAAUAUUGCAAGAGAGAUAUUCAUCAUCAUAGAGUAAAAGCCUAGAUUGAAAAGAAAGCAAGCAAAGAUGUCUGAUCAAUGCGAAGGUAAUGUUCAUUCGUUAUCUGGUUCCUUAGUUUCAGCUAUUAUAUAUAAAAUAAAUAGUUGAUGCGAGUACUAACCUUUUCUGAGUUCAUGUAUGAAAUAUAUGCAGGUAAGGAUUCAUGGCCUGAACUGUUGGGAGCUCAGGGAACAGUUGCAAAGGCAACAAUUGAGAGCGAAAACGCUUCGGUCAAAGCAGUGAUAGUGCUAGAAGGAACAAGUGUCACUGACGAUUUCCGGCUUGAUAGGGUUCGUGUUUGGGUCAAUACAGAAGGGAUUGUCACCAGUGUCCCUAAAAUUGGGUAAAUGAUGGAUUGAUCGUCCAUAACCAUGGCUACUAGCUAGUCUCUUUCAAACCUGUGAUGAAAAUCAUAUGAAAUAAUCCUGAAAUAAUGACUUGUAUUUCCAAAUUGUAUUAAUCAGAUGGUUGUUUGUUUUCCUUUCAGUGUAAUCUCAAUCAAUCUGUAUAAAGAAAUUAAAAUGUUUAUUUUCACGAGCAAGAAAUCGAUAAAGCAAGUUUAUUUUCUCAAUCUAUCUCAUCCUCCUACUGAUUCUGGUUUGUUCAUGAGUUGUCCAUAAUUGGAACUGUUAAAGCAGCACAAUAUUAUGUUCUUCAUGAUCUUCAAACGUCUGAUCGUUUGCUGCAAUUGACCUGUUUCUU